CUGACGGUGAAACACGGUGUGGCUCAUCAAGAACAAUAUCUUCAGACAUGAAAAACACAAGACGAGUCAGGCUGAAGAUACGACGAAGUGCCGCCUUACCCUCGUAGAUCCAUGGGCUCUCUGUUGGCUGUCGUAGAGGUCUGGACCAUCUCUCUCUUCAGCUCCCCAAUCUCCAACGCAAAUGUAUCAAUCAGCUGGAAGGAGACAGAAUGAGAGGGGGGACAAGAAGGAGAAGAGGAGAGGGGACAGCCGUGAAGGACACCGACAGCAUUGCUCAAACAUAAAUUAGAAAGCGGGACGCGGAGGAACUGUGCUGGUCACAUCUGGAACAAAGGGCAGAGUAACCGUUUCCUGUGUGCGGACCUCACUUCCUCCAGGAAGGAAAACAACAAAGAUAAAGCUUUGUCAGAGAACCAACCCACAUUAACACCCAGAGUGAGAGCCUCAAGUCCUCAUUCUACAUUGCAGAACCUCCUAAAAACCUAUCCGAGCAGAUGUAGACGUGUGGCUGCUGUACCCUGGUGAUCUGGGUCAAACAGUCGUUGUAUCCUCAGCAUCCUCACUAUUCCUGUCUGCAGAGCACAAUAUAAUGAAGACCGGAUAUGUGAGGUGAUGCAGAGAAGGCAUGUCAGUGUCAUGGUAUCUGACUUCCCCCAUGGCGUGCUAACACAAAGCACCAUGCAGGAACACUUAACAUUUCAACCAGGAGGAGGCCUCCUUGUCCAGCUGGGCUCCAGACCACAGACUCUCCCCUCAGACGACUAAGUGGAGCCAGAGCCUCACACCCUACAGCAUGAGCCCUGAGCGCUGUCCACUUCAAACUCAAACUGAGGACGCUCAAUGAGAGGCCCGGUGGAGCCAGGGACAGCCCUGCAGAGCGACGGACAGCUCUCUCAUACGCGUCCUGUUAAACGCACUGAGAACCCUAAAGCUACAAGCUACAAACAGACAAAGUUGCUGACUCGCGCUUAUUCCUCAUGUCAUCUCUCUCCCCCCGGUGACACGGACCUCGCUCUAUUGGUUUCAUAUUCACACACCGAUUCUUAUUUAAUAUUAUAUGUAUCUCUUUAAAGCUCAGGUGAAAACAACAACAAUCAAGUCCAGCACAGGAAUGCUGUAUACAGAGGGGGGUGCACAGAGUCCAGCAGAGAGAGUUAUGAAUGUGGCAGUGGAGAGAAUGUAAAUGGGGGAUGGAGCCAGAGCAGACGACAUGGAAACUCCUGAAUGUGUGUGCGUGCGUGCGUGCGUGCAUGUGUGUGUGUGUGUGUGUGUGUGUGUGCAUGUGUGUCGAGGUAAGUGAUUCUCUGCAUGAACUGCUGGUGAAGCCAUGGAUGGAGUCACCGGGAAACUAUGUUUGGUUUUGACACAGAUGCUUUCAGGGUUAGUGAGGAUGGAAGAAACGGCAGUUUAAAGCAAGACAACUUUCAUGUUUGUUUCUUAGUUCACUCUGGGUCCAACUUUGUCUGUUUGAGACAAACAACCUGAAUGAACUAAGAGGUUCUGAUGACGCUGCUGUAGCAACACUGGUAACAACAUCCACGCCCUCAUGGCAGCCAGAGCAGAUUUAUUUUGUUCUAUUUUUUGUCAGAGCAUUUGUUUCAUUGAUUGCUGUGAGGAUGUAAUUAGAAUUUCAACAAAUAUAACACAUUUAUUUGCCCACACUGGCUUUAAUCAUC